UCCCUGGUGGUCCAGUGGUUAAGACUCUGCACUACCACCGCAGGGGGCCUGGGUUCAAUCCCUGGUUGGGGAA